rnacentral:rRNA from 1 species
UCAGGAUGAACGCUGGCGGCACGCUAACACAUGCAAGUCGAGCGGAGGCGGGGACUCGGUUCCAACUCAGCGGCGGACGGGUGAGGAACGCGUGGGUAAUCUGCCCCAUACCGGGGGAUAACUCAGAGAAAUCUGAGCUAAAACCGCAUAAGCCCACGGAGUCGCAUGGCUCUGUGGGAAAAAACUCCGGUGGUAUGGGAUGAGCCCGCGUCCGAUUAGCCAGUUGGCGGGGUAAAAGCUCACCAAAGCGACGAUCGGUAGCCGGUCUGAGAGGAUGGACGGCCACAUUGGAACUGAGACACGGUCCAAACUCCUACGGGAGGCAGCAGUGAGGAAUAUUGGUCAAUGGGCGAGAGCCUGAACCAGCCAAGUAGCGUGCAAGGAUGACGGCCCUAUGGGUUGUAAACUGCUUUUAUGCGGGGAUAAAGUGCGCCACGUGUGGCGUUUUGUAGGUACCGCAUGAAUAAGGACCGGCUAAUUCCGUGCCAGCAGCGGC